GGACGUAGCUCAGUGGUAGAACAUCUGCCUUGCAAGCAGAAGGCCCCGGGUUCAAUCCCUGGCAUCUCCA